UGGGUAACCUGCCCUUAAGUCUGGGAUACCAUUUUGGAAACAGAUGCUAAUACCGGAUAAAAGCUACUUUCGCAUGAAAGAGUUUAAAAGGCGGCGUAAGCUGUCGCUAAAGGGAUGGACCUGCGAUGCAUUAGCUAGUUGGUAAGGUAACGGCUUACCAAGGCGAUGAUGCAUAGCCCGAGUUGAGAGACUGAUCGGCCACAUUGGGACUGAGACACGGCCCAAACUCCUACGGGAGGCAGCAGUAGGGAAUCUUCCACAAUGGACGAAAGUCUGAUGGAGCAACGCCGCGUGAGUGAAGAAGGUUUUCGGAUCGUAAAGCUCUGUUGUUGGUGAAGAAGGAUAGAGGUAGUAACUGGCCUUUAUUUGACGGUAAUCAACCAGAAAGUCACGGCUAACUACGUGCCAGCAGCCGCGGUAAU
rnacentral:rRNA from 1 species